AUUAGAUACCCUAUUAUUCUUAAUCAAUAUUAGGCCUGGGGAGUAAAAGUAAAGUACUUAAAAACUAAAGAAUAUGGCGGUAUUUUAUUCUAUCAGGGGAGCCUGUAGCUUAAUUUGAUAGCCCACGUGUUAUUAACCUAGACUUGAAAAUUAUCAGCAUGUGUACUGCCGUUACGUAUAGACUUUAAAAAUUUGUUUAUUAAAGUACUUUAUUAGUAGUCAUAAGUCAGGUCAAAGUGCAGCUUAUGUCUUGGUGCUUUAUGGGCUACAAUUAUUUAUAUAUGCGAGCCUACGACGUAGAAUUGUAGGUUUGAAGAAUUUGAUAGUAAGGUC
rnacentral:rRNA from 1 species